rnacentral:rRNA from 1 species
ACAUGCAAGUCGAGCGGUAAGGCCCUUCGGGGUACAUGAGCGGCAGAACGGGUGAGUAACACGUGGGUGAUCUGCCCUGCACUUCGGGAUAAGCCUGGGAAACUGGGUCUAAUACCGGAUAUGACCUUCGGCUGCAUGGCUGAGGGUGGAAAGGUUUACUGGUGCAGGAUGGGCCCGCGGCUAUCAGCUUGUUGGUGGGGUAAUGGCCUACCAAGGCGACGACGUGUAGCCGACCUGAGAGGGUGACCGGCCACACUGGGACUGAGACACGGCCCAGAUUCCUACGUGAGGCAGCUGUGGGGAAUAUUGCACAAUGGGCGAAAGCCUGAUGCAGCGACGCCGCGUGAGGCAUGACGGCCUUCGUGUUGUAAACCUCUUUCAGCAGGGACGAAGCGAAAGUGACGGUACCUGCAGAAGAAGCACCGGCUAACUACGUGCCAGCAAGCCGCGGUAAUACGUAGGGUGCAAGCGUUGUCCGGAAUUACUGGGCGUAAAGAGUUCGUAGGCGGUUUGUCGCGUCGUUUGUGAAAACUCACAGCUCAACUGUGAGCCUGCAGGCGAUACGGGCAGACUUGAGUACUGCAGGGGAGACUGGAACCUUUGGUGUAGCGGUGAAAUGCGCAGAUAUCAGGAGGAACACCGGUGUCGAAGGCGGGUCUCUGGGCAGUACCUGACGCUGAGGAACGAAAGCGUGGGUAGCAAACAGGAUUAGAUACCCUGUAAGUCCACGCCGUAAACGGUUGGCGCUAGUUUGGGUUCCUUCCCACGGGAUCUGUGCCGGUAGCUUAACGCAUUAAGCGCCCGCUUGGGGAGUACGGCCGCAAAGGCUUAAAACUCAAAGGAAUUGACGGGGGCCCGGCACAAGCGGCGGAGCAUGUGGAUUAAUUCGAUGCAACGCGAAGACCUUACCUGGGUUUGACAUAUACCGGAAAGCCGUAGAGAUACGGCCCCCCUUGUGGUCGGUAUACAGGUGGUGCAUGGCUGUCGUCAGCUCGUGUCGUAAGAUGUUGGGUUAAGUCCCGCAACGAGCGCAAACCCUUUGUCUUAUGUUGCCAGCACGUAAUGGUGGGGACUCGUAAGAGACUGCCGGGGUCAACUCGGAGGAAGGUGGGGACGACGUCAAGUCAUCAUGCCCCUUAUGUCCAGGGCUUCACACAUGCUACAAUGGCCAGUACAGAGGGCUGCGAGACCGUGAGGUGGAGCGAAUCCCUUAAAGCUGGUCUCAGUUCGGAUCGGGGUCUGCAACUCGACCCCGUGAAGUCGGAGUCGCUAGUAAUCGCAGAUCAGCAACGCUGCGGUGAAUACGUUCCCGGGCCUUGUACACACCGCCCGUCACGUCAUGAAAGUCGGUAACAACCCGAAGCCGGUGGCCUAACCCCUUGUGGGAGGGAGCCGUCGAAGGUGGGAUCGGCGAUUGG